UUAGAGACCAUUUUCUGCAAGUGUAAUUCUGUUUGAUUUCCACUCUUCAGUGGAGCAGUCGACUGUGCUGUGAGUGGAUGAUGCACUGGAGAAUAACCUACAAAGGGCAAUGAGAGCGAUUACUUGACCUGUGAAACACAGGGAUCUAGAAGACCGUAGCUGUAAGGUCUGCUUACUGCACACUGAUCUGCAAGUUUUUCCUAUAUGAGAAGUCAAAAUGUGCACUGUAUUGCCCGGGGAUUGUCACCUGGCACUGCCAUCAUUCUGUAGCAGAAGAAAAAGGUUCCAGACCAGACAUGGACACAGACACAUCAGCACGAACUUUCUGCUGGCACCUGUGGCUGGGUCAUGAUCCUUGGACGGCAAAAGAAGGGUAUCAAGCAGAGGACAUGGUCCAGUAGUCUGUACAGAUUUAUAGU